GGAUGUACCACCGAGGGGUAGCGGAAAGACCACCCACUCUGGAAGGUACCAUUGGGAGAGGGCGUGUGACAACAGAGAGGGUCCCCUUACACCGCGUCGGGCAUGGACCACAGUUCCCAGCAGCGGCACUCAUGGCGCCACUAGGUCCAUCUUCCCACUGCUUUUGAAUCCGAGUGGACACAGGACCAGCAGCCCAGUGUUGAGCAACCUCAACAAGAGGAACCGCCAGCUGAGAUUCAGGAUAUCACACCUGGGAAGGAAGAAGUAAAUGGAGAGGAUCCGGUGAAUCAUAAUGAAGAGAAGGAGGAUGCCUCUGGAGGUAAAGUAUUCUGAUCUGGAAACUGAUCUCCAGGAAUUGGCUGAGGCAAAGACUGGGGAUAAAGGUGGAGAUGGUCCCGAUGUCAGGGAGGAGGUUGCAUCAAAUACAGAGCCUGUUGAAAUGCCAGAAGCAGGUAUGUCAUCCAUUCAGAAAGUAAUUUAUGUGGUUUCUUUUUUUUUUAAUUCUUUUAUUUUUUUAUCUUUUAAAUUUUAUUUUAUUUUUAAACUUUACAUAAUUGUAUUAGUUUUGCCAAAUAUCAAAAUGAAUCCGCCACAGGUAUACAUGUGUUCCCCAUCCUGAACCCUCCUCCCUCCUCCCUCCCCAUACCAUCCCUCUGGGUCGUCCCAGUGCACUAGCCCCAAGCAUCCAGUAUCGUGCAUCAAACCUGGACUGGUAACUUUUUUCUUACAUGAUAUUUUACAUGUUUCAAUGUCAUUCUCUGAAAUCUUCCCACCUUCUCCCUCUCCCACAGAGUCCAUAAGACUGUUCUAUACAUCAGUGUCUCUUUUGCUGUCUCAUACAGGGUUAUUGUUACCAUCUUUCUAAAUUCCAUAUAUAUGCGUUAGUAUACUGUAUUUAUGUUUUUCCUUCUGGCUUACUUCACUCUGUAUAAUAGGCUCCAGUUUCAUCCACCUCAUUAGAACUGAUUCAAAUGUACUCUUUUUAAUGGCUGAGUAAUACUCUAUUGUGUAUAUGUACCAUAGCUUUCUUAUCCAUUUAUCUGCUGAUGGACAUCUAGGUUGCUUCCAUGUCCUGGCUAUUAUGAACAGUGCUGCGAUGAACUUUGGGGUACACGUGUCUCUUUCCCUUCUGGUUUCCUCAGUGUGUAUGCCCAGCAGUGGGAUUGCUGGAUCAUAAGGCAGUUCUAUUUCCAGUUUUUUAAGGAAUCUCCACACUGUUCUCCAUAGUGGCUGUACUAGUUUGCAUUCCCACCAACAGUGUAAGAGGGUUCCCUUUUCUCCACACCCUCUCCAGCAUUUAUGUGGUUUCUGUUUUUUCAGAAUAUUAUAUCUUUAAUAAUAUAGAAGGAACAUUACUAUUAUUUUAAUAACAGAGUUCACAUAUUCUUUGAAAGAUAGUUCAGACCCCAGAUGCCUGAGUGCCUGACUUACAGACUUUCAAAUAAAGAAACAGAGAGGAUCA
rnacentral:lncRNA from 1 species